GAUUACCAUGUAAUUAAUUGUUAUAUGAAUCUAUGACGAAAUCGUACUAUCCUAUUGUGUAGGCUAUCGACACAUACAUCGACUUCCUUGAGAAAAGGCAUAACGCCCUCUCAAUAGCAGAUCUCUAGGAUUGCAAGUUCUGUCCUACGUAUUUUACGCAAAGCCUCGAGGGGUGUUUGCCGGUUUUGAUCGCAUACCGGGCCUCCAAUUUUGCGUCAGAACGGUCGUCGUUAAUAGGCCAGCUGACCAUGGCCUACGCAAUUGCUAGGCAAUGAGAUAAACCAUACGCCAGAGCGAUUUGGUGUUAUGAACAGGUUUAUGCGCCAAUAAAUCAUGACAAUUCACAUUGAUUUUUUCUUGUCAUUUAUCCUAGUGAAAGAGAAAUCAUUAUUGUAGAUAACUUAUACACAUAUCUAACACUGAAGUUCAAGCAUAAGAUGAAGAAUAUGACCGAUGCACUCCCCGUUCUCUUCCAUGCCACUGGAGACAGUACUGCGCUUGAAGGGAAGAAGUGAACCGUCAGAUUCGAUGAAUCCGCGCCGAAGCAGGACAAUGGUUAUGACUGCGGCAUAUUCGUGAUGAAAUUCAUUGACAUUUUGUGUAGCAGUCUCACCUUGGAGGGAAUAGACAUGCAAAAAUUCACCUUCGAUUGGAGGAAGUCAAUAGCAUAUGAUUGCUUGUCUGUUGUUAGGAGGUGAUAUUUGUGCAGUGCAAGAGAGA